rnacentral:rRNA from 1 species
GAUGAACGCUAGCUACAGGCUUAACACAUGCAAGUCGCGGGGCAGCAUGGGGGUUCUUGCCCCCCCUGAUGGCGAACGGCGGCCGGGGGAGUAAACCCUAUCCCACCCUCCCUUCACCACGGGCUAACCCCGCGGAAGUCGGACCAAUACCGUAUGUUGUUCAUUGGAGGGCUCCGAAUUGGGCGGAAGGCUUGGCGGUGGAAGGGUGGGGAUGCGUCCGAUUAGCUUGACGGCGGGGUAACGGGCCACCGUGGCUACGAUCGGUAGGGGUUCUGAGAGGAAGGUCCCCCACACUGGAACUGAGACACGGUCCAGACUCCUACGGGAGGCAGCAGUGAGGAAUAUUGGUCAAUGGGCGUAAGCCUGAACCAGCCAAGUAGCGUGCAGGAUGACGGCCCUAUGGGUUGUAAACUGCUUUUAUGCGGGGAUAAAGUGGCCCACGUGUGGGCUUUUGCAGGUACCGCAUGAAUAAGGACCGGCUAAUUCCGUG